rnacentral:rRNA from 1 species
UACGGAGGGUGCAAGCGUUAUCCGGAUUCACUGGGUUUAAAGGGUGCGUAGGUGGGCAGGGAAGUCAGUGGUGAAAUCUCCGGGCUUAACCCGGAAACUGCCAUUGAUACUAUCUGUCUUGAAUACCCUGGAGGUGAGCGGAAUAUGUCAUGUAGCGGUGAAAUGCUUAGAUAUGACAUAGAACACCCAUUGCGAAGGCAGCUCACUACGGGAAUAUUGACACUGAGGCACGAAAGCGUGGGGAUCAAACAGG